UAUAUUUAGGUGUUUAUGCACGCAAAUUUUUGAGAUUUGAAGGACUAUUAAAAUUAGUAAAUAUAU
rnacentral:tRNA from 1 species